UAACCUGCCCAAGAGAUCGGGAUAACACCUGGAAACAGAUGCUAAUACCGGAUAACAACAGAUGAUGCCUAUCAACUGUUUAAAAGAUGGUUCUGCUAUCACUCUUGGAUGGACCUGCGGUGCAUUAGCUAGUUGGUAGGGUAACGGCCUACCAAGGCGAUGAUGCAUAGCCGAGUUGAGAGACUGAUCGGCCACAUUGGGACUGAGGCACGGCCCAAACUCCUACGGGAGGCAGCAGUA
rnacentral:rRNA from 1 species